AUACGUAGGGAGCGAGCGUUGUCCGGAAUUACUGGGUGUAAAGGGAGCGUAGGCGGGCGUGCAAGUCAGAUGUGAAAUACAUGGGCUCAACCGGGAGCGCGCAGCUGAAACUGGUACACUUGAGUGCUGGAGGGGAAAGCGGAAUUCCUAGGGGAGCGGUAAAAUGCGUAGAUAUUAGGAGGAACACCGGUGACGAAGGCGGCUUUCUGGACAGUAACUGACGCUGAGGCGCGAAAGCGUGGGGAGCAAACAGGAUUAGAUACCCUGGUAGUCCACACUGUAAACGAUGAAUGCUAGUUGUAGGAGGUAUCGACCCCUUCUGUGCCGCAGUAAACACAGUAAGCAUUCCGCCUGGGGAGUACGGUCGCAAGAUUAAAACUCAAAUGAAUUGGCGGGG
rnacentral:rRNA from 1 species